rnacentral:rRNA from 1 species
UACGUAGGGAGCAAGCGUUGUUCGGAUUUACUGGGCGUAAAGGGCGCGUAGGCGGCAAUUCAAGUCAGCUGUGAAAUCUCCGGGCUUAACUCGGAACGGUCAGCUGAUACUGCUUUGCUAGAGUGCAGAAGGGGCAAUCGGAAUUCUUGGUGUAGCGGUGAAAUGCGUAGAUAUCAAGAGGAACACCUGAGGUGAAGACGGGUUGCUGGGCUGACACUGACGCUGAGGCGCGAAGGCCAGGGGAGCAAACGGG